rnacentral:rRNA from 1 species
ACUCAAAGGAAUUGACGGGGGCCCGCACAAGCGGAGGAACAUGUGGUUUAAUUCGAUGAUACGCGAGGAACCUUACCCGGGCUCGAACGGUGCAGGAAUACAUCAGAGAUGGUGUAGCUAGCAAUAGUCUGUAUCGAGGUGCUGCAUGGUUGUCGUCAGCUCGUGCCGUGAGGUGUCGGCUUAAGUGCCAUAACGAGCGCAACCCUUGUCGUUAGUUGCCAUCAAGUAAUGUUGGGGACUCUAGCGAGACUGCCACCGUAAGGUGUGAGGAAGGGGGGGAUGACGUCAAAUCAGCACGGCCCUUACGUCCGGGGCGACACACGUGUUACAAUGGUAGGUACAGAGGGCCGCUACCCAGCGAUGGGAUGCCAAUCUCUAAAACCUAUCUCAGUUCGGAUCGGAGUCUGCAACUCGACUCCGUGAAGUUGGAUUCGCUAGUAAUCGCGCAUCAGCCAUGGCGCGGUGAAUACGUUCCCGGGCCUUGUACACACCGCCCGU